rnacentral:lncRNA from 1 species
AAGUACAAGAAAUAGAGGGGACCACCAUGUUGGUAGUGGACUGCAUACUUCAAACUCUAACAUAUCCAGAUCUAGGGCAAAUACAAGUCUUCUACAAAGUGGUAAGAGUUCAAAUUCAACCUCAAUUUCUACAUUUCUGAAUGUUCUGAAUAUAAGCAAGCUCUCACAGAUCCUCUCUUGAUGUUAUGCAGAAGUUGCUAACUGUCCACUUGAGAAGCAACUUGGGGAUUUAUUGGUUGAGAAAAAUUGUGAUGCAGGAAAAAGUAAGUUUAUAUAUGUUCAUCUUGUUUGUUCUAUGAAAUUGAAACUAUAUAUAUUCUCAUUUUUCAGUUUUUACAACUUAUUGAAUUCUCUAAAUUUCACGAGGAAUAGUUAUUUAUAUAAGUAAUUGAUUUUAACGGAUGUUGUUGGUGAUUCUGGAUUGAGGAAUAAUGUUAUUUUAGUAACAACUGAUAAUGGAGGACAAAGGGAAUAUGAUAUUGAUAAUGUUGGUGAUGACAAUGAGUAUGAAGUUCCUUUUUCUUUCAAAGUGAUGAUGAUGAUGAGUAUGAGGAGGAACAAUCUGAUGAUGUUGUUGUAGAUAGAGAUGAGGUUAUCAGUGAUAGAUUAGCUGAGAAAUAGAUUGACAGUGAUAGAAUAGCUGAGAAAGAGGUAGGUAGUGAUACAAGGGUUGAGGAAGAGCUUGUAAGUGAGAUCACAGAUUUAGCCGCUGACAUUUGUGCCAUUUCACUUGAUUGGGAUAGUGAAUUCAUAACGAAAACUUCAAGAAUUAAAGAACAAAACAACUGCAACAGUUUACUGGGUAUGGUAUGAACAAAACAAGAAUACAUCC